AAUGGCAGACGUCGAUGCUUGUCGGGAGUUAUGCUGCACCAAAUUAAAGAUCAUUUGCAAUGUCUCGUUAGCAUGAUGCAACUCAAAUGUGAAGACUAAUAAGUAAUGUCCAUUCAAAUGAAACACACCGUGUCCGCCGGAGCAAUGACUGGCAUCGGCGGAGGGGUCUGACCGUUCUUCUUGCACAUGGACUGCACAUUUGGUUUUGAUGAGUCAGUCAUAUUAGUUACUAAUGAAAGGAACAUUGCGUGCAUGAUUUAGCUAAUAUGCAGAAGAGACUUACCGCGAAGAGCUCGUAUAUGGCCCGGUUAGCCAAGUCGUUCCGGUUCCUCUCCUCCUCCAAAAGCCUAGCCGUCCUCUCCUCAGUCUCCCUCUCCCUCUCCGCCACCUUCCUCCUUUCCUCCGCCAGAAGAUCCUGGGUCUUUGCUCUCUCUUCCUCAAUAGCAG
rnacentral:lncRNA from 1 species